rnacentral:rRNA from 1 species
AGAGUUUGAUCAUGGCUCAGGACGAACGCUGGCGGCGUGCCUAAUACAUGCAAGUCGAGCGAAUCUUUUAGGAGCUUGCUCCUGAAGAUUAGCGGCGGACGGGUGAGUAACACGUGGGCAACCUGCCUGUAAGACUGGGAUAACUUCGGGAAACCGGAGCUAAUACCGGAUAACUCUUUUUCUUCACAUGAGGGAAAGCU